AUAAAUGAUGAACAACGGGUAUACUGAAUCUUUCCCGACGGGGCAAGAUAAUGAGGAACCGUUGGAGCACUGAUA
rnacentral:ncRNA from 17 species